rnacentral:misc_RNA from 1 species
GAUGAAGAACGUAGCGAAAUGCGAUAAGUAAUGUGAAUGGCAGAAUUCAGUGAAUCAUCGAAUCUUUGAACGCACAUUGCGCCCGCUAGUAUUCUGGCGGGCAUGCCUGUUCGAGCGUCAUUUCAACCAUCAAGCCCUGUUUAGGCUUGUGUUGGGGCCCUGCGGUUGCCGCAGCCCCCUAAAUGCAGUGGCGGGCUCGUUGUCACUCCGAGCGCAGUAGCGUAUCUCGCUCUGGGCGUGGCGGCGGGUGCUAGCCGUGAAGCACCCACUAAGGUUGACCUCGGAUCAGGUAGGAAUACCCGCUGAACUUAAGCAUAUCAAUAAGCGGAGGA